rnacentral:ncRNA from 2 species
UUCUUAUCCAGAGAGGUGGAGGGACUGGCCCUGUGAAGCCCAGCAACCCAAGAGAAUUUCUUGAAGGUGCUACAUCCAGCAGGUAGGAUCCUGAUAGAUAAGAC